CCUACGGGAGGCAGCAGUGGGGGAUAUUGCACAAUGGGGGAAACCCUGAUGCAGCGACGCCGCGUGUGGGAAGACGGUCCUCUGGAUUGUAAACCACUGUCCCCAGGGACGCAGCUGACGGUACCUGGGGAGGAAGCUCCGGCUAACUACGUGCCAGCAGCCGCGGUAAUACGUAGGGAGCGAGCGUUGUCCGGGAUUACUGGGUGUAAAGGGAGCGUAGGCGGGACUGCAAGUUGGGUGUCAAAUCUACCGGCUCAACCGGUAGCCGCACUCAAAACUGCAGUUCUUGAGUGAAGUAGAGGCAGGCGGAAUGCCUAGUGUAGCGGUGAAAUGCGGAGAUAUUAGGAGGAACACCAGUGGCGAAGGCGGCCUGCUGGGCUUUUACUGACGCUGAGGCUCGAAAGUGUGGGGAGCAAACAGGAUUAGAUACCCCAGUAGUC
rnacentral:rRNA from 1 species